rnacentral:rRNA from 1 species
UACGGAGGUCUCGAGCGUUGUUCGGAUUCAUUGGGCGUAAAGGGUGCGUAGGUGGCGGGGUAAGUCAGGUGUGAAAUCUCGGGGCUCAACCCCGAAACUGCACUUGAUACUGCCUUGCUCGAGUACUGGAGAGGAGAUUGGAAUUUACGGUGUAGCAGUGAAAUGCGUAGAUAUCGUAAGGAAGACCAGUGGCGAAGGCGAAUCUCUGGACAGUUACUGACACUGAGGCACGAAGGCCGGGGGAGCAAACGGG